rnacentral:rRNA from 1 species
AGUGAACGCUGGCGGCGUGCCUAACACAUGCAAGUCGCACGAGAACGCUUCAGCUUGCUGAAGUUAGUAAAGUGGCGCACGGGUGAGUAACGCGUGGGUAACCUACCUCCGAAUUGGGGAUAACAUUGCGAAAGCGAUGCUAAUACCGAAUAACAUCCCAAGCACUUCGGUACUUGGGAUCAAAGGUGGCCUCUCCUUGGAAGCUAUCGUUUGGAGACGGGCCCGCGUACCAUUAGCUUGUUGGUAGGGUAACGGCCUACCAAUGCUACGAUGGUUAGCUGGUCUGAGAGGAUGAUCAGCCACACUGGAACUGACACACGGUCCAGACUCCUACGGGAGGCAGCAGUGAGGAAUUUUGCGCAAUGGGGGAAACCCUGACGCAGCAACGCCGCGUGAGUGAUGAAGGCUUUCGGGUCGUAAAGCUCUGUCAAGUGGGAAGAACCUACAUGGUGCUAAUAUCAUCAUGUACUGACGGUACCACUGAAGGAAGCACCGGCUAACUCCGUG